rnacentral:misc_RNA from 1 species
GAUGAAGAACGCAGCGAAAUGCGAUAAGUAAUGUGAAUUGCAGAAUUCAGUGAAUCAUCGAGUCUUUGAACGCACAUUGCGCCCCCUGGUAUUCCGGGGGGCAUGCCUGUCCGAGCGUCACUGCUGCCCUCAAGCACGGCUUGUGUGUUGGGCCCCCGUCCCCGGUUUCCCCCGGGGACGGGCCCGAAAGGCAGCGGCGGCACCGCGUCCGGUCCUCGAGCGUAUGGGGCUUUGUCACCCGCUCUGUAGGCCCGGCCGGCGCCAGCCGACACCCAACUUUAUUUCUAAGGUUGACCUCGGAUCAGGUAGGGAUACCCGCUGAACUUAAGCAUAUCAAUAAGCGGAGGA